rnacentral:lncRNA from 1 species
GCUGCCUGCGGGCCGGCGGCUGGCCGGGAGCUCGGCGUGGCCCGUGCCGGUCGGGGGAUCCCGUCGCAGGUGGGCAGGGACGGAGUGAGCCGCACCACUGCCGGCCCGACGCCCAUCCCCAGAGCUCCGCGCCCCUGGAGGCCUCCUCCUCCCUCUCCGGGCCGGGUUGGGGUCCUCCUGGAAGUCCUGCCCCGCUCCCUUCUCCAAAUCCGCAGGGCCCUGGCUCUAGGGAGACAGCGAGGCUCGUACAGAAUAUGUGCAAAUGGUUUCUACAAGCAGAGUCGAAAGACACCCGUUUGCUGUAGGGUCCUUUUGGUGAGGGCGCGCGGGAAGCCGGGGUGCUCUCCCCGCGGAGGCGCGGCCGGGCCCGGGGCCUGCGAGCUGGGAGAGGGCAGGCGCCUUCCUCGCGCCCCGGGACCCUCGCCGCCUCCUCUCCCCGCCUCUGCAGACGCAGCCGGGCGCCUUCCUCCCGGAGGGCGGCUCGCGCACCCAGGCUCCGCGUCUGGUCCCAACAGAAAUGAAUGAAGACGCUGUUCCGGUUAACUCCAGGUCACGAGAACAGUGAGGCACUUCUGAAACGAACCCAUUAGGAACAUUGAAACAAAUAAAAAAAAGCCCGCAUCUGGCAGCGCCCACUACAGGCUGCUGACGUAGACCCUGCUGUCCUGGAGCUCCUCCUCACUCGGUCGACCCCGCGCGCGCACACAGCCCGCGUCCUCUUCGCCCCCGGCUCGGUCCUGCCCCGCGUCCCUGCAGUUCACAAAGGGUAAGAGGGCGCCAUUGGGGCUCUGUGGGGCGCCCCCGCUGAGGAUGUUGUCGGCCGCGCUCUCCAUCUCCUCUAUGGUCAUGUCGCAGGCGUCGGCCAGCUCCUGGGUGGUGACCUCGAUGAACUUGGGAUCUUGAGCAAACUGCCCCAGUCCUUCUGAAAUCAAGACCUGAAGGAGCGGGGUGGGAGCCAUGAAGAACCAAAGGAACAUUACUCCUGGAGCCCAGCUCUUCCCUUGAGGGCUAGAGCGAGGGGGUAUCUGAGAGAAGCUUGUUUGGCUUGGUACUGGACUUGGGAUGAGAGCUCUUCCUUCUACGUUCCAAGAGAGAAGCUUCUUUGGCUUGGUACUGGACUUGGGAUGACAGCUCUGCUUCUCUGAGGGCCGUCCUGACCAGGGCAAACAGGGUGGCAUUGAACAUGACUGUCCCGUCGCUGUUCAGAGGCAUGUUCAUGGAGACCAGGCGCUGCAGGCGAAGAGAAGCAAAGCUGGUGAUGAUGGCAGGCGGUGCUUAGGGGACCGCAGAACACCGUGGCAGAGUGAUAUGGUUUGGCUCUGUGUCCUCGCCCAAAUCUCAUGUUGAAUUGUAAUCCCCAGAAUUGGAGGUGGGGCCUGAUGGAAGGUGAUUGCAUCAUGGGGUGGAUUUCUCAUAAAUGGUUUGGUACCAUCCCCUUGGUGAGUGAGUACUCAUGAGAUCUGCUUGUUUAAGUAAGUGUGUGGUCCCUCCCCCUUCUCUCUUGCUCCCUGUCUGUCCAUGUGACGUACCUGCCUCCCCUUUGCCUUCCACCAUGAUUGAUUGGAAGCUUCCUGAGGCCUCCCCAGAAGCAGAAUGCUAGUGCCAUGCUUCCUGUACAGCCUGCUGAACUGUGGGCCAAUUAAACCUGUUUUCUUAUAAAUUACCCAGUCUCAGGUAUUUCUUUACAGCAGUGCAAGGAUGGCCUAAUACACAGAGGAUGCUGGGGGUGACACGCAGCUUGUGUGGGUGUUGCUGGAGUGGGCAGGGAGUGAAUGCUCCCUGAAGCAUUCCAGGGAGAAUCUUGCCUUUGCCACAACUACUUUUGACCCUCCUCGUGGAGUGGGAGAGGUAUGAAAUUUGUCCUCAUUAGACCUUCACUUCCACAAAAGGAUGUGAAGGCCACCCAACUUUGCGCCCUGCUCGAAAGUCUGCUCAGGCGUGCAGGUGUGCUCUCCACUGGCAGCAAAGACCGGCUGUACGCCAGCAUGUGCUGGGAGCCCACCUGCCAGGCAGCAUUCGUCCACAGCCCAGAGAAGAGAAAGGAUCACAGGAGCUUUGCCUGCAGGAGAUGCUACAUGUCCUCUCUGUGUAUUGACAAAUAUGCUUCUGCAUCAAGUUGGAGCAGAAGCUUGCUGACACUGGAUAGUGCUGUCUUGCCCUCUUCUUUCCCAGCACACACCCCCAGAACAGGCUUCCCUGGCACGGAGCUCUGGUGUGGGGCCUUCAGCAUGCAAUGGGUCAUGACGAGCAAGCGCGGUGUGAAGCUCACCACAGCGUCCAUGCCAAGGGCAUGCUCAAGGGGGGCUAUUUGUCAGCUCACACGGUGACCUCCUGCUAAUCUCAGUGUCUAGAAGGGUUACACUUCUCCUGAGUGACCAGAUCUUGAUGAGCCUCAUGGACGGUGUGAACUGUAUCUUGGCCACCGGAAAGUUUCGCACCCAGGCUUCAGCCUGCCCAGGCCCGUCCGGAGGCCACAACGGACGCACUUUAGCCCCCUCCAGGCUGCACCCCUCCCCACCCUUGCCUUGCAUGGUGUUUGUACCUUGCAUUUAUUUUAUGCUCUUUUCUGAUAUUUUCUAUGC